GAGAGGGGAGGGACGGCUGCCGCCUUUUAGGUGAGGAAAGUCCCCCCACCACCUGGACACGCAAAUGCCCGUAAGGGCAUACGGCGAGAGCCGUGGCAAUGGCACAGAAACGAUACGGAGCCGGGUUAAUGCUAUGAUUCGGAUACGAUGAGGCCGCCCGUGCGCCGAUGAAACGGUGAAUCCUUGCGGGUGCAAGCUGGAGCGGGCCGCUGAAGGGAGUCCAGCCCUUGGCCCCGGUAGAAGCGCUUAGAUGAAUGCCGUCGGCCUUCGGGCCAUGAACAUAAGGGGGCUUACUAUCCCGACUC
rnacentral:RNase_P_RNA from 1 species